rnacentral:lncRNA from 1 species
GGGACUCGGGGAUGACAGCCUGUUUGCUUAACACGCUUUUUAGAAGACAUGCUUGCAAGCUAUUAGUUAGCUUCCUUCUUCCCUCCCUGUCCCCACCACCCUAACCGCUCCUCACACUGUAAUUUGGCAGCGGCUGCUUGCAGGCCUGCUGUGCGCUUGGUCCCUGACUGACUCAGAUGCAGAUGGCAGCAGAGGCAGCCACAGGAAGUGGGAUGCAGCCUGUCACCUCUGAGACUGGCUUGUGCUUGUCAACCUCGCUGUGGACCCUGUGAGGCUACAGGGCUCAGCACAGGUCGCUGCAUUGUGCACUGGGGCCCUGAGAGUCCAGCAUGGUGGGAUUUACUUCAUCCUCAACAGAAACAGAUGUUAUUACAGUGGAGGUCAGCCGCUGACGUGUACCAGCUGCGGGAUUCGGAGCUCCCUGCUGACGGAUGGGCUUCACCUUUCCAGGUGAAUUUUCUUUGUUUUAUUAAAUCUCCUUGGAGAGGCUUUUAUUGGUCUCCGUGGAGUCAGAGAAAUUAGACUUUCCCUUUUGGAACUUACGAUAGUAAGUCAACCUGCAACCGGGCUUCUUAGUUAAUAUCUAGAAGACAGAGCUGUUACUUUGGAAAAACCCUCAAGCUGUUUGACGGAGAGGGCAAAUCAGGAUGCUGUGAGGAGCCGACUCUCCCAGGAGAAGCUGAGGAGGACGGGGCUGAGCUGGAACCCAGAGGAGAGAGCAUUCCAGGAAAACCUAGUGUUAAAACAACCCCAAUGGGAAUGCUCCCCGGAACUGCUGUGGACCCUAGGAUAAGCAAAUAUCUAGUCCAUUUCAGAAAUCUGAAGACCAGAGCUGGAAGGAUCUUUGGAGGUCAGCAAGGUCAAGUUCCUUUAUUUGCAGAUCAGGACUGACUGCAUCAGAAUGGCGGUUCAAAAUGGCUGAAUAACCUCCCUACCACAGUUGGGAAGACAAGAAAUUGUGCCCACGCAGCCAUCAAGCAGUCCAAUUAUAUUUUUUCACUUCAUUCCGCAAAAAUAAGAAAAAGAAAGAAAAAGAAAGAAAAAAAGCCAGCCAGCCUUGAGCUGUCUUGAAAACUCUUUGAAGUGUAGAUUUUGCGUUAAAGCUACAUCUUGUAGCUGUAGGAUGGGGCAGUGGGAAGAGAAAGGAGUGAGGAAGGGUACCAGAAGUUUGGCAAAAUGGGAUCAGGUGACCAUCUGUUUGACUGCAAGACACGAGAAAAAAGGCUAAGCCAUAAGAGUUAGUGACACAUGAGAGAAGAGGGGAGGAAUUGCCUGGAACAGCAACGUCCACAGGUCAUUUUCUCCAGAUCCCCAGGACAACAAGAAAGGAGUCAUAGACCUGGGUUCAAGCCCUGGCUAAGCCACUUACUUUUGACCGUGACCCUGAUGAAGCCAGUGACUCUCAAACUUGAGCACCAUCGGAAUCACCCUGGAGCGCUUGUUCAAACACAGAUUUCUGGUCUUACCUCCAGGGUCGCCGAUUCUGUGGGUCUGGACUGAGGCCUGAGAAUUUGCAUUGCUAAUAAUUUCUGGGUGAGGUUGCCACUGCUGGUGGUCCAGGGACUGUCUUUGGAAACCAUUGGGAUAAGCUAUUAAUCUCUUGCAACUUCCUUUUUUUCCCCAUAGGUAAAAAGAAAAUAAUCAUGGGCUUAGGGUCUGCUGGGAUUUGAAGGAUCUUGUGAAUUCAACCCUCUCCCUCUGUAGAUGAGGAAACCGAGGCUCAGAAAAGUGAGGACACCAAUCCUUGUUGGCAGAACCAGGAUAAAAACCCAGGUCUUUUGAGCUCUGGUGCAGUGUCUGCAGCAUCCCACUAUCUAAUGCUGCCCAUGCCAGUCUUCUUGGGAGGGCAUACGAGACAAUGCUGAUGAAAGGGUCCCUACUGACCCCUCACAAAAGCAAAGAGUUAUUAUUAUCAUUUAUUGAGUUUUGACAGCUGAGAGGGGGUGUCUUUGAAGUGUCUAAUAAGCAGCAUUCUUUCAUAACUAGAUUCUAAACCAAUUGAUAAACAACAUGAAACAGAUGGAGGACAAAAUAUCAUUUCACUUUUGACAAGACGGUUUGAAGGAUGAAGCUUUUAUUUAUUAGUGAGAGAUUUCCAAAUGCUAAACCUAUGAAUUAGAAUGCGAAAGAAAGGUUUUCUCCCUAACACUUUUAAUGUCAGGCACUGUGCUUGCAUGCUCCGUCUCAUUUAGCCAUUUCCACAGGCCAAUGAAAUAGAUCAUGUUAUUAUCAUCAUUUUACAGCUGAGGAAGCUGAGUCUCAAAAGGACUGAGCGACAUAUGUGGAAGAUAGCAAAGACAUGGAUAAAGAGAACAGAUUAGUGGUCACCAGAGGAGAAGGGGGUUGGGGGGGUGGGUGAAAGGGAUAAAGGGGCACAUGUGUAUGGAGAUGGAUAAAAGUGAGACUACUAAGGGUGAACACGAUGAGGUGUAUUCAGGAAUUGAUAAACAAUAAUAUACACCUGAAAUUACCCAAUGUUAUAAAUCAUUAUAAUCCCAAUAAAAUUACUUGGGGAAAGAAAAAGGACCAAGUGAUUUGUCCAAGGUGGAGUUUGGAAUGGAAUCAAAAGACGGUAGUCUCAACAACUGUCUACACUUUAAUUAUGCUGCUGUGUCCUUUUGUGAGCAUUUACUAUGUCCCAGGCACGGUUUAUCAGUUUAAGUUGGCUCGGGAAGCAGAACCUCUAUGGAUCGUAUGCCAUCAAGGGUUUAUUACUGGAGUGGAGCAGGGCAUGAGAGGCUGUGGUCUCUGCCACUGGUGGGGGGCCUGAGGUCACUGUAAGUCAGCAGAGCGGGCACUUGGAAAGAAGAACCAGUUGUAAAGUGGGGCAGAGGGAGAACAAACUGGAAUCUUGUCUGUUUUUCACCUCCACCCCCCUUAGCAAGAUGGCGACCGGCAGAAGUGGCUGGCAUGUGUUCUGGGCUGGCCCUCUAAAGAAGCUGAAGACUGGGCCCAACCUACAACAACCAACAAGAAUGCCAACAGAUCAGCGACCACGUGGGCAAGCUGCAGUGGUGCCUGACCCCCUACACAGACCUUCAGAGUCAAUUGCUGCUGCUUCCUGUCUGCUUUCCAAAUCUCAGACAAAUUACCUUGUGACCCACCCUAACUCAGGACGAGGCAGGGAAGGGAAUUCUGAGAAACGUAGUUCCAGCUUGGCUUAAUUUACCCUACGGAACCACCACACACGGUGACAAUUAUUUUACAGACAUUAUUUCAUUUGUCUUCAAAGCAACCUCCUAUGGCAAGAGCUCGAGUUUACAGGUGGGGAAACGAAGGUUUCAGAGGCUACAUAACUUGUCUAAGAUAUAAACUUGCUUAAUGUGCAAGGGGUUUUGAAGUCAGAUCUCUGUGACAUUAAACCUGUGUUCUCACCCCUGCAUGACAGUAUACACUGAUUUUUCUCUAAGUGUUCCUCUGUCUACUCUCAUGGAAACUGUCACUGGCAUAAGUAAAAGGCUUCACACAGACUGCUCUAGGCAUAUCAGACACCCCAGAUGCUUUUCUCACCUUUCCUCAUUCCCUAGACCAGAGCUUCCUCGCUGAGGAGCUGCCAUUAGAUCAUAGGCCUGCUGGGGAUAGGCCUGGGGCAGGCGGAGCCCCUGUGAAGGUCACCUCCAGCUCUUGGCAACCUCAUGGGUUUACCCCAGUGGGUGCCAUGACGUGAAGGCCGGGGAGCAUUAGUAUGGUCUCCCAGGACAUACCUCACCUCACAGGGGUGGAAUUUACCAUCCUCUGGGAAAUGAACCUAAGAGAACUUAUGUGCAGCCUGUUAGCGUGAGAGAUACUGGCUGGAGCCUGCGGAGGAGGAAGUCUUCACGUGACACUGUCAAACUCCCGGCAGGCAGACAGGUGUCUUGGUUUUGAUUUUCGUUUUAUAAACAUUUUUCCUGCCUGUCAGUUCUCCAAAUAGAGCCAAACUCAUCUCCAUGGCAGCUGAGGCGUGAGAGCCCUAGUGAAUAUGUCAGAGCUGAGGAGAACGCUCCACUCCAAAACAGGCGUAAAAGGGAGGAAAGAAAGAGGUUUGCUCUUAUCGCAGAGUCUGGACAAUAUUGAGUAUGGCAGAGUGGUCGAGACCAGAGGUUCUGCGGUCAGACGCCUGGUCUGAAUUCCAGGUGCGCCAUCACAGAAAGACUUUGAGCAAUGACUUACUAAGAAGUGAGGCCCUUACGAAGAUGUAUGAUAUAUGUAGUGGAU